rnacentral:rRNA from 1 species
GAUAAACGCUGGCGGUGUGCUUUAUGCAUGCAAGUCGAACGGGUUCCGCAAGGAACCAGUGGCAGACGGGUGAGCAACACGUAAGCGACCUGCCCUAAAGUGGGGAACAACUCCUAGAAAUGGGAGCUAAUACCGCAUGUGAUCUUACUUUUAAACUUGUAAGAUUAAAGCCGUAAGGCGCUUUUGGAGGGGCUUGCGUCCGAUUAGGUAGUUGGUGGGGUAAAGGCUCACCAAGCCAACGAUCUGUAGCUGGUCUGAGAGGACGACCAGCCACACUGGGACUGAGACACGGCCCAGACUCCUACGGGAGGCAGCAGUGGGGAAUUUUGGACAAUGGGCGAAAGCCUGAUCCAGCAAUGCCGCGUGCAGGAAGAAGGCCUUCGGGUUGUAAACUGCUUUUGUACGGAGCGAAAAGGCUCUCUCUAAUACAGGGGGCUCAUGACGGUACCGUAAGAAUAAGCACCGGCUAACUACGUGCCAGCAGCCGCAGUAAAAC